rnacentral:rRNA from 1 species
GACGAACGCUGGCGGCGUGCUUAACACAUGCGAGUCGAACGGUGAAGCGAGUGCUUGCACUCGUGGAUCAGUGGCGAACGGGUGAGUAACACGUGAGUAACCUGCCCAUCACUCUGGGAUAAGCACUGGAAACGGUGUCUAAUACUGGAUACGACCAACCCUUGCAUGGGGUGUUGGUGGAAAGAUUUAUCGGUGAUGGAUGGACUCGCGGCCUAUCAGCUUGUUGGCGGGGUAAUGGCCCACCAAGGCGACGACGGGUAGCCGGCCUGAGAGGGUGACCGGCCACACUGGGACUGAGACACGGCCCAGACUCCUACGGGAGGCAGCAGUGGGGAAUAUUGCACAAUGGGCGAAAGCCUGAUGCAGCGACGCCGCGUGAGGGAUGACGGCCUUCGGGUGGUAAACCUCUUUCAGCAGGGAAGAAGCGAAAGUGACGGUACCUGCAGAAGAAGCACCGGCUAACUACGU